rnacentral:rRNA from 1 species
UCGCAUCUGUGCAUGCAGCAUAUCAAUAAGCGGAGGAAAAGAAACUAACAAGGAUUCCCCUAGUAACGGCGAGUGAAGCGGGAAGAGCUCAAAUUUGAAAUCUUAAAGGGUUUCCCUUUACGAAUUGUAGUUUAAAGAAGUGUUUUCUGUUGAGGUUUUGGUAAAAGUUCUUUGGAAUAGGACAUCAUAGAGGGUGAGAAUCCCGUAUUUGACCUUUACUUUCAACUUUGUGAUACACUUUCAAAGAGUCGGAUUGUUUCGGGAAUGUAGUCCAAAAUGGGUGGUAAAUUUCAUCUAAAGCUAAAUAUUGGCGAGAGACCGAUAGCGAACAAGUACCGUGAGGGAAAGAUGAAAAGAACCUUGAAAAGAGAGUUAAACAGUACGUGAAAUUGUCAAAAGGGAAGCGUUUGACACCAGUGUUGUUUUUCUGAAAAUCAAUUAAAGAACUGUUUAUGCUAAGUUGUUUAGACUUUAUCAGCUAACUGUUUAGUUUUGAGCUUUUCUUUAAUGCACUUUUCAGUUAACAAGUCAACAUCAAUUUCUUUUGCUGUAAAAAAGCUUGAGGAAGGCGGCUUGAGAUUCGUCUUAAGUGUCUAUAGCCUCUUGCCUAUGCAGUCGGAGAGAUUGAGGUCUGCAGCGUAGAUCCUUCGGGGCUAAAUGCAUUUGUGCUAAGUUAUAGCAUUUUAUAGACAACUUGUAUGACUAUGAUUUGUCUUGUAGCUUACUCGCUUAUGUUAUUUUACCUACGCUUAGGAUGUUGAGUCAUCACACAUCUCU